rnacentral:rRNA from 1 species
GACGAACCGUGCGAAUGUUGUUCGGAAUCACUGGGCUUAAAGGGCGCGUAGGCGGGCUGUCAAGUCUGGGGUGAAAUGCCGCGGCUCAACCGAGAAACGUCGGCUGAUACUGCCGUUCUUGAGGGAUGCAGAGGAGACUGGAAUUCCCGGUGUAGCGGUGAAAUGUGUAGAGAUCGGGAGGAACACCGGUGGCGAAGGCGGGUCUCUGGGCAUCUCCUGACGCUGAGGCGCGAAAGCGUGGGGAGCAAACAGG